rnacentral:lncRNA from 10 species
AGUAGCCCUCACCCGUCUGGUUCCUGGAGCCGAGACUUGGGACGCAUCGCGCGCCCUUCGCUGACGGGGCAAACGGCAGCCGGCAAAAGGGGUAGGAGUCCGACGAUCGGCCAUCAGGAAGGGCCCGUUGCAGCGAACGCGGGCCCCUACGGGCGUGAGCAGAACCCAGCGCGAGCGCCUGGCCGGAUUGGCGUGCACUGCUCCGCGCUGUGUGAGCCGGCGCCGCAGUUCCUGCAGAGUCAUGGCUCGGCCCAGGAGCCUGCGCAGCCUCGUCGCCCAGCAUAACACACAGUCCAGAAUAAUAUAAUCCGAGGUUAUUUGAACUUUCAAUUUAUGUUUCCUGAAGUGAGAUUAGGUGUCAGGGCAGAGAGAUACAGGGAUGACAGGACGAGAGAAAGGAUGGUGCCAUGGAAAGAUUUAAGAUACGCCACCAUUUUAGUAACCCACUCUUAGUACAUCUUCAGUUUUCAGUAUGCUGAGAACCUCACAAAAUGGAAGUGGCCCAGGGUUUUUCUAGACCUUUAGAGAUCCUGAUCUCUUGUUCUCUAUUUGUUUGGACACCCAAAGGCUUGACUACUAGGGUGGAAAACACUAGAAUCAGCGAAUGUAUCACUGAUCUGAAAAGCCCUCUUGCCACCGGGAAGGGGAAGAAAGGCAGGGUUUGGUGUUUGCAUGAGUUAGUAUCAUCCAACCCUCAACCCCCAAAUUUUUUUUAUUUUUAUUUUUUUGAGACGAAGUCUUGCUCUGUCGCUCAGGCUGGAGUCUAGUGGUGCGAUCUUAGCUCACUACAACCUCCGCCUCCCGGGUUCAAGCGAUUCUCCCUCAGCCUCCCGAGUAGCUGGGAUUACAGGCGCCCGCCACCACGCCCGGCUAAUUUUUGUAUUUUAG